GAUGAAGAACGCAGCGAAAUGCGAUAAGUAAUGUGAAUUGCAGAAUUCAGUGAAUCAUCGAAUCUUUGAACGCACAUUGCGCCCGCCAGUAUUCUGGCGGGCAUGCCUGUCCGAGCGUCAUUUCAACCAUCAAGCCCCCGGGCUUGUGUUGGGGACCUGCGGCUGCCCGCAGGCCAUGAAAACCAGUGGCGGGCUCGCUGUCACACCGAGCGUAGUAGCAAUCACCUCGCUCAGGGCGUGCUGCGGGUUCCGGCCGUUAAACAGCCUUACAAAACCCAAGGUUGACCUCGGAUCAGGUAGGAAGACCCGCUGAACUUAAGCAUAUCAAUAAGCGGAGGA
rnacentral:misc_RNA from 1 species